UGACACUCUCAAAGAACAAGACAGACCGGGGAAGAUUUUAGAUGCGUACCCCUGCUUCCGAGAACUUGACCACAUCAUGGACGAGCUACGGAGGAUAAUAAACCCUGUGACAAUCCAGACUACAUUGCCAACAUUAAGGACAGAUGGGAAACUUUUUAUGGGAAAGUGCAGUUUUAUGGCGUAAUGAGAAAAGUCAUGAAGCCUCCAAAGACCUUGGAUGGAGUGGAACAUGCUACUGCAGUGUUCUCUGCUCUUCCACAACUUUUUCAAUCACCUGCCAUGGCGCCCAAAAAGACACGCACCCCAAGCGAAGUCUUUUUUCACA
ensembl:lncRNA